AUACGUAGGUGGCAAGCGUUGUCCGGAAUUAUUGGGCGUAAAGCGCGCGCAGGUGGUUCCUUAAGUCUGAUGUGAAAGCCCCCGGCUCAACCGGGGAGGGUCAUUGGAAACUGGGGAACUUGAGUGCAGAAGAGGAUAGUGGAAUUCCAAGUGUAGCGGUGAAAUGCGUAGAGAUUUGGAGGAACACCAGUGGCGAAGGCGACUGGCAGGUCUGUAACUGACACUGAGGCGCGAAAGCGUGGGGAGCAAACAGGAUUAGAUACCCUGGUAGUCCACGCCGUAAACGAUGAGUGCUAAGUGUUGGGGGGUUUCCGCCCCUCAGUGCUGCAGCUAACGCAUUAAGCACUCCGCCUGGGGAGUACGGUCGCAAGACUGAAACUCAAAGGAAUUGACGGGG
rnacentral:rRNA from 1 species